AUUGAACGCUGGCGGCAUGCUUUACACAUGCAAGUCGAACGGUAACAGGCCUUCGGGUGCUGACGAGUGGCGAACGGGUGAGUAAUGCAUCGGAACAUACCCAGAGGUGGGGGAUAACGCAGCGAAAGCUGUGCUAAUACCGCAUGUGAUCUGAGGAUGAAAGCGGGGGACCGAGCAGCAAUGUUUGGCCUCGCGCCUUUGGAGCGGCCGAUGUCGGAUUAGCUAGUUGGUGGGGUAAAGGCCUACCAAGGCGACGAUCCGUAGCUGGUCUGAGAGGACGACCAGCCACACUGGGACUGAGACACGGCCCAGACUCCUACGGGAGGCAGCAGUGGGGAAUUUUGGACAAUGGGCGCAAGCCUGAUCCAGCAAUGCCGCGUGCGGGAAGAAGGCCUUCGGGUUGUAAACCGCUUUUGGCAGGAACGAAACGGUGUCCGCUAAUACCGGGCGCUAAUGACGGUACCUGCAGAAUAAGCACCGGCUAACUACGUG
rnacentral:rRNA from 1 species